rnacentral:rRNA from 1 species
AUUGAACGCUGGCGGAAUGCUUUACACAUGCAAGUCGAACGGCAGCACGGGGGCAACCCUGGUGGCGAGUGGCGAACGGGUGAGUAAUACAUCGGAACGUGCCCGGUCGUGGGGGAUAACGUAGCGAAAGUUACGCUAAUACCGCAUACGAUCUGAGGAUGAAAGCGGGGGACCUUCGGGCCUCGCGCGAUCGGAGCGGCCGAUGGCAGAUUAGGUAGUUGGUGGGGUAAGGGCCUACCAAGCCGACGAUCUGUAGCUGGUCUGAGAGGACGACCAGCCACACUGGGACUGAGACACGGCCCAGACUCCUACGGGAGGCAGCAGUGGGGAAUUUUGGACAAUGGGCGCAAGCCUGAUCCAGCCAUUCCGCGUGCAGGACGAAGGCCUUCGGGUUGUAAACUGCUUUUGUAUGGAACGAAAAGGCUCUGGCUAAUACCUGGGGCUCAUGACGGUACCGUAAGAAUAAGCACCGGCUAACUACGUG